GUGGGGAAUAUUGGACAAUGGGCGAAAGCCUGAUCCAGCCAUGCCGCGUGUGUGAAGAAGGUCUUCGGAUUGUAAAGCACUUUAAGUUGGGAGGAAGGGCAGUAAGUUAAUACCUUGCUGUUUUGACGUUACCGACAGAAUAAGCACCGGCUAACUACGUGCCAGCAGCCGCGGUCAUACGUAGGGUGCAAGCAUUAUCCGGAGUGACUGGGCGUAAAGAGUUGCGUAGGCGGUUAUGUAAGCGAAUAGUGAAACCUGGUGGCUCAACCACACAGACUAUUAUUCGAACUGCAUAACUCGAGAAUGGUAGAGGUAACUGGAAUUUCUUGUGUAGGAGUGAAAUCCGUAGAUAUAAGAAGGAACACCAAUGGCGUAGGCAGGUUACUGGGCCAUUUCUGACGCUAAGGCACGAAAGCGUGGGGAGCGAACCGGAUUAGAAACCCUUGUAGUCC
rnacentral:rRNA from 1 species